rnacentral:lncRNA from 1 species
GCCAUAGAUAUUUUUGAAUUAAUGAUCAGGCCUAACUCUUGAUUGAGUCUUUCUCAUUGUUGGAGCAAGAACAAGUGAAUGCUGAGUGCUAGGCAACAGGAAUUUCACUUAUAAGAACUAGCUGUGGGAACACACAUAAGUAUUUAUUUAGUGAAAGGCACAAAAUGUUUGGGAAUUGAUUAAUUGAAGCUGUUAACUGAAAACUAUCACUAUUUCUCUACAAAUACAAAAAAGUAUGAAUGGGCCAUAAAGCUUUCCUUAAAUUCCUGAUAAAAUUAGUUGGAGCCUAAUGCUUGAAUUUAUUCCAAUACGUGAAUUGCUUUUCAUAUCUCUUCUGAAUUUACCUAAACCUUCACACAGGACCCAUGACAACGCUUCACUUGCGUCUGUCUCCAGUACAACUGCUGAGCACUCCAGGCUAGUUUGGCAGAAAUCUUAGAGUUUGGAUGGUGCUCUAACUUGGGGCAUAUCCCGUUCUUCCACAUUUCUUUGUAGGUAAAAAUAUUUUCCAUACCGUCGUUUGUGACAAAUAUCCUAGUUACUGUGGUCUGUUCAUGCUGUAUAAAGAGGCGGCUGCUCUCCCAUCUUGGAGGGAAGAUGUGUUUUCUACUUUUCCCCAGGAGUGGGGAGGUGUUUGUGCUAAGCCAUUCACACUCUUCUUGUCCCUCUUGUGGCCAACAGGCUACACUAAUAAACAGGCUAUGAAAGCAAAGACAUCUGCAGCUACGGCAACAGAACAAAAGUAACUAGGCCACACUAACAGGAGCCGAUGAUUCCAAAAGCUUUGCCAGCCUGACUGCCAACCCGAAGACACAUUUGCUUAAGUCAAGCAAUUUCAGCAGGUAAAACACAAGAGCAUGCCAUGAAACAACGCAGCCCCAAAGAAAAGAGCUGUGAAAUCAUCAACAAGCCAAAAAGAGGACUGUUAGGUGUUUUCUAUGUAAAUGGAGAGCCAUGAGCACAUAUUAACUUAUUAAACUAUAAAACUAAGCCAGAUUGUCCAUUUCCAAAAUUUCCUAUUAGUAUACUUAAUCUACAUUUGCUCUUCGUCGAUCUGCUUUCUCUUAGACAAGAUCACUGUUGAUCUCUGGUUCUCAGCCCUGGCUGGACAUUAGAAUCACCUGGGGAACUUUUAAAACUCUUCGGAUGCCCAGGCCCCACCCCUAGUGCAGGGAUGUAGCCCAAGCACUGAUCGUUGCUAACACUCCCCAGAUGAGGCCAAUGGUUGCAAACAUCCCCCCUAGUGAGGGAGGGUUGAGAGUCACAGUCAUUGCUAAUUAAGUGGAAGUAGGAGCAGACAGAAUAAGUAGAAUUUAUGGGAGGAAAACCUAAAGUUGAGGAAACACUAUUCAUUCAUUUUUGUUUUCCUGUGAAUGGAGAAACAAAGGACGUAUUCGCUCUCAGCAGCAGAACAUCUUUGUUUAGCUCUAGGAUUGACAUAUUCCAUAGGUACCUAGUUGAGGCCCACUGACUUAAGUGAUUGGAAAGAGACCCCCAGAAACUGGAGGGCAGCUACAGGUCAUGCUGAGAAGAAAUGCCCACGAUGGGUGUCGAAACAUUGGGGGAAAGUGGAGGAAGAUGAGAGGGCAUGGGGCAUCAGGAAAGGCUUCCUGGAAGAGGUGGUUCUUGAAAUGGGCCUGGAGUAGAAGGAUUCCUAGGGAAGAAAUGUGGAUACUGUCGUUGGCUGAAGCCACCUCUUCCACCAGCAGCCCAGAGCUCACUGGAGACAGAUGCUGCUGUCCAGGAGCCGGACCAUCUACCACCUCAAAGCAGCAGCUGUCUGGAGUUGGAAGAGGAUUGCAGACGCACCCAACUAUGGUCCAGAUGACGUGCUGGGAGGGCGCGGUCCACCAGAGCUCCGCUGAGCAAAGGAAUAGCUAAGCUUGCAGCCUCUGCCCUUAGAGGUGCAGCCAGAGAAAGAGAACCCCUGGCCUGUUCUUUCUCUGACCACACCACAUCAGCCUGCAUAAGAUCAUACAGAGGCUCCUCUCACUUUUUUUUUUUAACUACAAGGUGUAGAUUUUCUUCUUUUUUGAAAUUCUUUCUCUAAAGCAGCAAGUUAUUACAAGUUUUGAAUAGUGAGCGGACUUGCCUAAGAAAUCCAGGCAAAGAGCAUUUAAUAAAUGGUUUUGCGAAUGCCCUAGAGAAUUGGUAUGGCACAGGGCAACAAAAAUUUUUUUCUGGGGGGCCGCCCAGUGGCCGAGUGGUUAAGUUCACACGCUCCGCUUCGGCGGCUCAGGGUUUCACCAGUUCGGAUCCUGGUGCAGACAUGGCACCGCUCAUCAGGCCAUGCUGAGGCAGCGUCCCACAUGCCACAACCAGAAGGACCUACAACUAGAAUAUACAACUAUGUACUGGGUGCGCUCUGGGGAGAAGAAGAAGAUUGGCAACAGAUGUUAGCUCAGGUGCCAAUCUUUUGAAGAAAAAUCAGUUAAUUCAACUUAAUAGAUAUUGCUGAGCACUGACCAUGCAUCGGGUUUCUAACAAGUAAGGAGAUAAGACAGCUGCAGAAGUUACUAUAACAAAAGGCAAAGUGAGAACCAUCACAAGGAAAGUCUCAAAAUGCUGUGGCUCUUUGGAGGCAGAUGAGAGGGAACUGGGCUUCCUGGAGGAGGUGGUGCUUACAAUGGGCCUUGAAUCUGAAGGAUUUCAAUAGAGGGAGCCUGUGGGAGGGGUGAAGGGUAGUUAAUGCCACAGAAAGGAGAGCUCCAAAGUGGCUCCUGCUUGCCUGUCUUGGAGCAGAGAGUUGGGGGGCUGCGCAUGAAGCCCAGGAAGAACAAAGCCUGUGUUUGCUGCCAACUUCCAAAAUUGCACGGGCGGGAGAGUCGGGGGCAGGGAGCGCUAAGGUCGUUCGUACAAAGUAGCCAAUUUACAGUUAUGGUUACACUUGAGUCAAUUAAAGUGUUUUAUUAGCAGGAAUUUGAAUCUCUUACCUUCAUUAACAUUUAACAGUAAAUGGAAGAAAAAAGGUAAAUAAAAUAUUAUCUGGCUUUUUAAAGGUCAUUUCAGACUGAGCAUUAUAAACUGUGAGCUGGGGAAGGGUGGGGAUGGCCCUUUGUGUGGAUUUAGUACGUGGCGCCUGCCAUAUGUGUAGAUCAUGAGAGAUACCUGACGGCCGGCCAGGCGGCAGAACGCCUCCCGGCAGGUGAGGCACUUGAGGUGCAUUCAUCAUCGGCAGCACGUUUGAGGCAGAAGGAGCGAAGCAGCAGAUCUGAGGUGUGAGAACUCAUUUUUUGCUUUAGAUCUCAGAUUGUAAAUCAUUUGGGGUAUGCAGUCCUUGGUAAUUACUCCCAUGAUCAACACCUGCUUUUUAACAACCCCAGGCUAGCAGCCCAAAUUGAUUCACCCACAUACCUAAUCAUUGCCCCAAAGGAAAGAAGCGCAAAGGGAGCCCUGUGCCCAGGUCUCAGAGAGUCCACCCGGGGGCCUCAGGGACCCCUGGUCACAGGAGACAGACCACACUCAUGCCCCAAGCACGCUGUGGACAUUUGACAUCAAAGCCUGCUGUUAUUGGAAGCCAGAAGCAGAAACAGGAUAAUUUGGCAAGGCUGUAAAUGUUCAACCUGAAAAGAAACUCCUCUUAUUUUUUAAUUUUCCAAAGUGUCAAGCCAGAAGUGAUUAGAAAGCCAUCCAAAAGCUGCCCGGUGAAUAUUUCAUCCCAACUUGUCACCUUGGAGAUGAUAAGACCUCACUCGUGACGCUCAAGUGUCAUCUGACCCUGGAAAGGCAGCAGGGAAAGCUCUUCCUUGAAAUUCUUUAUCAGAAUGGGUGGACUAGCAGGAGAAGACCCACCCCUCCCACGAUGGAGUUUCUGAAGACUUCAAGGGUUUGGUGAUGGCUGUCCUUGCCCUGGGUGAAGGAGUGGGCAGGGAGAAAGGCUACCUCCACACCUGCAGACACAAACCCUAGAGAACAGGAAGUUCGCUUUUUGAAGUAGUAAUAGAGAGCAGAGUCUUACUCAAAUGAGCAAGCGCUCGUGGGUUCAAUCCUCUUCCUGGGCCGCCUACAUCACUAGGGCCUUUGACUCGAUGGCAGCUGAAAAUAGGGGGAAAUGAAAUCACAGCCAAAUAUUCCCUAAUUUUAAAUAAAUAUUGCUAAUCACAGUGACCGUGGUCAGAGCACAAUGCAGCUGUAUAAAUACAAAGAACAAAAUUAAGAGGAAAAAAGAGGAUAAUAACAUACAUAAAUAUAAAUCAAAAAUCUGAUUUUAAUAUACUAAAAGCAUCUGGUCUAGUUCUCUAAAUGUCAGAGGCGGCUGCUCGCUGUCCCUCCAGCAUGACUCCCAUUAGCAGCUGAGGAGGCGGCCUUCCGUGUAUCCAGAUCUGAAGGUAAAUAUCAUGGACUUCAGCGCAAAAAAUGAUGAGGACAUUUUCCUGUUCCAUUUAACAACUUUAUUUUGCAUCUGAAUCUAGCAAAGAAGUGUGGUAAGGUUUCUGGGAGGUGGUAAGGCAAAGCUCUGAAUAGCCUCCCUCAUGGGCUCUCCCAACCUCGUUCCAUUCCCUUUUCUUGUUGCAGAGUAUACACAAGCAACUUCUCACCCAUGCUAAGAAGUCUGGGGAUUUCGUCCAGCCUAAAAGACCUUUAGCACCAAAGUGUACAAAGCCACAGUAAGAGGCAGGGGGUAAGACUGUGAACCAUUUUCAGUGUCAUCUAGAGAAGCCAACAAUCUCUAUGAUGCCGUAGAUGUAUGUACUGUCUAUUAUCCAAAAAGGUUAUAUUGGGCUCCUGAUAAUCACCGAAACUAUCAUCCUUUGCAAAACUGACUGAACGCACAGUAAAAGCCAGGCACUGUGUUUUUACCUUAGUGAAUGUCAUCACAGUUCAGUCCUACAAGAACGGUGUGCAGUAGUGAUUUUCUCUCAAAUGCAGAGAGUGAAGUCGGGCUCACGAAGUGAAUGCAGUCGCCCUGGUUGCUGUUCUGUCAGCCUAUGUCUUCUUUUGGUCAACCUGCCCUCUCUCAUGCAGGUAAUUUGGAAGUAAAUAAAUGAAAUGACCACUUAUUCCCACCAAAACGACAAUGCUUUCUUACCCAUGCUGACUGGGAAGCGUUUGAGCCAGAACACCCACCACGAGAAGACUUUCAAGGAAGUUGCUUCUGCCCGCUACAAGGAUUGGUGUUCAUUUAUUCGUUAUAACUCAGACAUAAAAAAGCCUAGGAUCUUACAGGACUGUGUUUUUGAAGAUGAGACUCUGUGAAAGUUUAACAUAUCUAAAAACACAUCAGGGACCUAUCAUAAGAAAACAAAAUAUGCCUACGUUACUCCUGUAAUCACAGCUCUUUUUUGAAAAUGUCUCAUCCAGGAAGCCCUUACAGUCAUAAAGUACUUUUCAGUCCACAAACCUCCUUCAGAAUCAUCCUGUAAAGUGGAAAGGGCAGAGGGUGUUUGCUCCAUUUCCAGAUGAGGACGUGAGCUCAGAAAGUUCCAGUGGUUGUCUAGAGCUCUUGUGGUCAGGGAGUGGUCCAGUCCAACUAGGACCUGACACAUGUGACUCCUAACCCUGUCCAGCCAGUCCUGUGCACUCUUUGGCCCCUGUCACUUCUGUCUUUAAAGGCAAAGCUGAUUUCAGGAGGCUGCAUUGUUCCAACAUAUCCCACAUCAACCAUCCUUUCCUCAAGGGAGGCAGCGUGGUGUGGCAGCUGAGAGCCAGACAGGCCUAGGAGCAAGUUCCGACUAGAUGAGAUAUCUGCUGUGGGGCCUUGGAGAGUUGCUAGCCUCUGUGAACCUCAGUUUUCUCUUCCGUAGUGUUGUAGUAAUCCAAUCUUCCGAAGCCCUGAGCAUAACAAAGGCUUUGGCCCACAGUGAGCAUUAUGAUUUUUCCUCCACGGUAUGCAAAGGGAAGGUGAAGCAGCAUAAGCUUGCAGGGCCUGACCGUAAGAGGUUGUGCACAGUGCAGCCUGAAGCCUCUCAGUAGAGUCUCAAACAGAAGGACCUAGGAAUGCAGACUUCUCUUGCAUGGAAUAGAUCAAAACCAAAACAACAGUGAGAAUGAACAUCUCAUAGAAUCUUCCACCCCACCCCCAAACCACCACAUACACACCCAGAAGCAUUGUGGGUCGAAAGAAAACGGAUUCUUUCAAGAUUCCCAGACCAGACUGUACAAAGUGAAAAGGUUUCCGGUCCCGCCGGUUCUGAGAAAUACCUGCGCCUCGCAAGGCUGAGGUCACCUGAAACUCCUCGGGGGGCUCUCUGUCUGCACUAAUUAGAGAAAGCAAUAUUGUUUGAAAGCAUUUCCUUUAUCUGUCUUCCCACCUCGAUUUGCUCCGGGAUCUGGGUGUUCGCAGGCCCAGGCCCAGUUCACGUUCACACAGCCUGCCAGCCCUUCAAAGGCGGGGAAUAAACACAAGCUCACCAAACAGGUGGUGAUGAGAGACGUGCCCAGACUGUCUUGGCCGUUCCGCUCUGCACCUUCACUUUCAUUAUCUUCAUCAUUUGUCAAGCGAAGGCAGGCUGGUGAGCGGGGGCUUUCACACCUUCAAAAGGAAAUAUUGACUAAACAGCAAUGCUGCUGCUUCCAUGACCUCCUCUUUACCUGCCAGAUACCCACAGGGACUCGCAUUGUCAAAAGAGGAGUCUUCAUUAGACUCUUCUCGCUGACAUCCAGUGGCCCAAGGGAGAGCAAGAGAGAUGAAGGGCCAGUCGGAGGAGGGGUGACGAGCCACACCAAGAAACUGGAAAAUGCAAAAUUAGCUUUCAAGGAUAAGAACAUACAGACAGCACCAAU